UACAGAGGGUGCGAGCGUUAAUCGGAAUUACUGGGCGUAAAGCGCGCGUAGGCGGCUUUGCAAGUCGGGUGUGAAAUCCCCAGGCUUAACCUGGGAACUGCAUUCGAGACUGCAUUGCUAGAGUAUGGGAGAGGGAAGUGGAAUUUCCGGUGUAGCGGUGAAAUGCGUAGAUAUCGGAAGGAACAUCAGUGGCGAAAGCGACUUCCUGGACCAAUACUGACGCUCAUGUGCGAAAGCGUGGGGAGCAAAACAGGAUUGAG
rnacentral:rRNA from 1 species